rnacentral:rRNA from 1 species
UGCGUAGGCGGAAUUUUAAGUCAGUGGUGAAAUCCUGCAGCUCAACUGUAGAACUGCCAUUGAUACUGAUCUUCUUGAAUUUAGUUGAGGUGGGCGGAACGUGUAAUGUAGCGGUGGAAUGCUUAGAUAUUACACAGAACACCGAUUGCGAAGGCAGCUCACUAAACUAACAUUGACGCUGAGGCACGAAAGCGUGGGUAGCGAACAGGAUUAGAUACCCUGGUAGUCC